rnacentral:lncRNA from 1 species
GCGAAUUAGACUGCAUCUGUGCAAUUAGUUUUGUAAUUAGCUCAUAUUUAAUUCUUCUAAUUAGCAUCCGAACAUCCGAUGUAACCCUGCUAAAGUUUAACCUCUCGUAUCCAAACGUCCUCUCAAGCUAAUGAGGCAGGCACGAAGCUAAUGAAGCGAGCACAUGCGUGCCGGACGCAACGUCUGCUCCUCCUGCACGAAGAUGUAACAAGUCAAC